GAACGAACGCUGGCGGCGUGCCUAACACAUGUCAAGUCGAACGAGGUCCAUGCAGUGGCAACACUGCGGAAGACCUAGUGGCGAACGGGUGAGUAACACGUGAGGAACUUGCCCCGGAGACCGGGAUAAGCCCCCGAAAGGGGGUCUAAUACCGGAUGUCCUCACCGAGUCGCAUGGCUUGGUGAGGAAAUGGAUUCCGCUCCGGGAGAGCCUCGCGGCCUAUCAGCUAGUUGGUGGGGUAACGGCCCACCAAGGCGUCGACGGGUAGCUGGUCUGAGAGGACGAUCAGCCACACUGGGACUGAGACACGGCCCAGACUCCUACGGGAGGCAGCAGUGGGGAAUCUUGCGCAAUGGGCGAAAGCCUGACGCAGCAACGCCGCGUGCGGGAUGACGGCCCUCGGGUUGUAAACCGCUUUCAGUGGGGACGAACCAAGACGGUACCCACAGA
rnacentral:rRNA from 1 species